AGACUAUUGUAAUUGUCACAUGAGAUAAUUUACAUGUGAUAAGGAAGUAGACUGGAUUGAAAAGUCUUGCUUAAAGCUUGGAUCCGUUACAUCACACAUACAGCCAUAAACGGGAAAGGAAAACUUACUGGAUAGGAUAUUACUUUCAUUAUUUUGACUCCAGACAUCAACAGGACUAAAGUUCGCACAAUACAUAGAGGCAAGGAUGGCGUAUCAACAAUACCCAAACGCUCCGCCACAGCCAGGACCUGGGGCUCCUCCCCCACAGCCAGGAUAUGGCCCACACCCGGGCUGGGCAGUCCCAGCAAAUGGCAAUCAACAAUACGGUGUCCCUCCACCCUACCAGCAACAGCCACAGGGAUACUACCCAGAGCCGUCUUAUAUGCAGGGACAUCACCAUCACAAGAAGCAUCAUAGACAUGGGUCGUCGUCGUCCUCGGAUAGCGACUGUAAUCAUCCUCAUCGUCAUCAUCAUCAUCAAAAUACAACAGUGUAUGUUGUGGACGAACAACGUCGGAGAGA